rnacentral:rRNA from 1 species
UACGGAGGGGGCUAGCGUUGUUCGGAAUUACUGGGCGUAAAGCGCACGUAGGCGGCUUUGUAAGUCAGAGGUGAAAGCCCGGAGCUUAACUCCGGAAUUGCCUUUGAGACUGCAUCGCUUGAAUCCAGGAGAGGUGAGUGGAAUUCCGAGUGUAGAGGUGAAAAUUCGUAGAUAUUCGGAAGAACACCAGUGGCGAAGGCGACUUACUGGACACAUAUUGACGCUGAGGUGCGAAAAGCGUGGGGAGCAAACAGGG